rnacentral:lncRNA from 1 species
AAGAAAUUGAAAUUAAAAAACUACAAACAAGAAAGAUGAGCAAAUUGAAAUUAAAGAAUAACUGAAAAACCAGAACUCAACAUAUAAGCACCGAUUCAUCAUUAUUAAAUUCUCAUAACUUGGUUGGAAUGGAGGAAAAUACACAGGUACAAGAGGAAAAAGAAACAAAGGAAAAAACAGUAGUUUCUGAAAGGGGUAAAAAAAGACUAGGUACAAAUCAAACAAACAUCUCCAUAGGAGGAGUAAUUAUAUGUUGGCUGGCCAUAAGGGUGAAAUUCAGUAGCCUUCUGGCUUGUAGGCGAUGAAACUGAUGCACUGCACUUGACGAACGUUAUCGAAUCCGAUAAUACGGAUCCAGGCCUGUGGGUAAGCCUUCUUGGCCUCUUGGACCUCAUUCAACACCUGGGUAGCGUCAGUGCACCCAAACAUGGGCAACUUCCACAUUGUCCAGUACCUUCCAUCGUAGUAUCCUGGUGACCUGUGGUGCUCACGGUACACGAAUCCGUGCUGCAUCCAUAACAUAUUCAUAAUAAUUAGUUACUAUUAUGCUUAAUUAAUACUUGUAAAUUUUAUAAAUCAGAGACAAAUAUUGACCUCAGUCUCGAAUUCCAAGCAAGGAACCCAUCCCUUUUGCAAAAGGUACUCAAUUUCCUUGAGCAAUUGCUCGUCAGACAAAUCAGGAAGGUAUGAGAGAGUCUCGUACUUCUUCUUGUUAAUUGGUGGCCACACCUACACUCCACACAUAAAACAAUUCAAAGUAAUUAGUACUAGCACGAAUUAGAAACGUAGUUAACUAUAUUGAUAAUGUAAAAAUUCUUUUAACCAGCAUGCAUUGGACACGUCCACCGUUGCUAGCAAUGGAAGUAAUGUCAAGGUUGUUCUUCCUAGUAACUGGGAAAGAUGCAGCAGAUUUUAGGCCAGUGAAGGGUGCAACCAUGCUAGCCUGAGUGACAUUGGUGCGGGUAGCAACGGCUGCCGAAGAGAUCACUGAGGAAGCCAUUGCGUUACUACUUAGUUUUAUUUUUCCUUGAGACAAUUGUUUUUUUGAAGAUGCUCAUUGCACUGUGGCUCCCGUCCUUUAUAUAAUGAAAAGAUUAGACAUAUUCUCUAUCUAACGGAUUGAAACAAGCAAACCUCAUCUUAGAUGAAUGGUGACCAUUGGAUUAUGUGGCUGUUGAUAUUACAAAGUUUAAUGGCCACAUGAAAGAUAAGAAAUUGGAGCUAAGUGUCUUUUUCAUUUCUUCUUUUUAAAUUCAUUAAGAAGCCAGAAUGGAGGUGCCACGAGUCAGAAGCUGGUGAAUCUUAUCUCAUCCAGAAUGGUUAAUUUUUCUAUGUUUUCAGAGAGUGCAGUUUAGCCUCAUCUUAUUAUUACAGUAGUGGAUGUAGUUGCAGUCUUUUUUGAUUGGACUUGGAGAGACCAUUCCGUAUUGCAGAAGGUCCAGACGUAUUUUUCUGGACGCAUCAUUUUCGUAUUUUUGGCCACUCCCAAGUUUUAUUUAUUUUCAACUUAGCUUAUAAAUGGUGACAAUAUAGACACCUCAUAUUCCAAAAAAGAAAAUUUAAAUUAGCCUUGAAUCUCAUUGCUAAAUUGCUGGUGACUAACAGGAUUAUUUGACAGUCCGCCAAAUAUUAUGUUAGCAAUGGAUUAAUUUUGCUGUUUAGUUACAAAAUUUUUUUGUUGCUUGUUUCUAAUUUUUAGUACGUAAUUUUAGGUCGCAAGUUCUUACUUUUAGUAAAUGGUUACUCCAUCCAUUUUUAAAUAAGUGCAUGUUUUGAAAUUAACAUGCCAUUAAUAAAUUGCUAACUCCUAGAAAAUAAAAUGUAAUUUUAUCAAUUUAUGCUAUAUACUACCAAAAGGGCAGCCUUUAGCCACGAUUUUGUAGCCACGACUGCAGAAAGUCGUCCCUAACAUUAUAAGACAAUUUGAGGUUUCCAACGCAUCACAAAGCGAUGCUAAAAUAUUGUGGCAAAAAAUAGGCGGGGUACUAAAAUUUCACUCCCUUUUUUCAUCCGCCCCCACUUUUUUUUUUUUUUUUGAAAUUAAUUUUUCUUUCCACCCAAAAUUUAAUUUAGUAGUAUAGGAAAUUAUUUUCAUUUUUUUGGCACUCAAAUAUCUGUUUAAUCCUAAAUUGCUACUCACCCAAAUCACUGCCUCCUCUCUAUCAUCGAAAUUCAACUUCUGCUAAUUGUUGCCACUCCUUUCUAUCAUUGUAAUCUUCUUGUGUUCUUAUUUUGCCACAAGUUUUAGGGCCAUUGAAGUACCUUUCUUAUUUUGGGUUGUAUUCUUCUUAUUUUGGAUUGCUGUAUCGAAUUUUUGUUGUUUUAUUGCUCACUCUUGCAUUGUUGUUCUUAUUUUGGUUUAUUGUGUAGAGUUAUAUUGAAUUUUCCUUUAUUUUGAAGGAAAUUGCUAAACCUAGUUUAUCGAAACUUGAUGAGAAAAGAAAUUGACUCAAUCUAAACGAGGUACUCUAAUCGACUCAAAAAUUAUAUGUAAAGAGCUAAUUAAGUGCUACUGAGGGUUGAGGGUUUAGCAGGUCUUAACUACACUAACUUUUUACUAUUUUGUUGUUUUCUUUACAGGUAAUUUCCAUACAAUUUGAAGGCUAUUGAAAUUAUGGCAUCUUCAAACUCUUUAUUA